rnacentral:lncRNA from 1 species
UUGUAUGACAAUACUUUACUGGAUCAAAUCAGGGUCGUUAAUACUUUAUUAAAACAAAAACAAGGUCCCAAAUAUGACAGUCACAAAAGAAAUUGCCUCUCGUGCGAAAGCUACUAUUGAAAACCACUAGCUUACAAAUUAGUCCAAUGGUUGUUAUUACACCAGUCGCUUUGGCAUGUCUCAGGAGCUCUGCUGCCCCUUACUCGUCAUGGUGCGUUUGGUUCACAUUAUGUAGCAUUAUAGAUUAUUUCGAUUUAAUUAGAAAGCUAAAAUUCUUGAAUCAGAUCACAACUUAUACUGUACAUCGUAUUUGAUUUAAUACAGUAAUGAAAUACCAGAUUAUUAAAUUCAGUAAUUCUGACAAUAAAGUGUAGUCUAUUUUAUAAUUGUCCUUAGUUAUAUUUGGCCUUUUUUUUCUUUUUACUAUUCACUAAUAAUAAUGUUUUUACUAAAUUUUAUUUUUAAAUAAUUUCAAAUUUGAAUUUUAAUUUAAAUAUAAAAUUUAAAAUCUAAACAAAAAUAUAAUAUUUAAUAAUUUAAUAUAAAAGAUAAAUGUGAAUUUUAAACUUUUAAAAUUUAAAAUAUAAAUUUAAAAGAUAAUUUUAAAUUUUAAAUUUAAAAUUUAAAAUAUAAAUUUAAAAGAUAAUUUUAAAUUUUAAAUUUUAAAUCUAAAUUAAAAAUUUAGAACUUAAAAUAUAAAUUUAAAAUUUAAAAAUUUAAAUUUAAAAUUUAAAAUUUUAAAAUUUAAGUUUGAGAAUUCAAAUUUUAAAUUCAAAACUGAUGUAUAGAAAGAUUUUGAGAGGGGGGAGGUUGGAGCAAUAAAAUUGUCAUUUUAUAUAACAUAAAAGAUAACCGAUAACACAAGAUACCCAUCCCCCGCUUGAUAAUAUUGUCAGAGUAAUCGUGUAUCAUUUGUAAUUCUACAUUAUUGACCAGAUUACAGACCGAAUGAAUCAAACACAAUAAUUCUGGCAUAAUUUUCUAUAGUACUAACAGAUAACCUGAACCAAAUACGCCCUUAGGUAAAAAUAUAGGAUUAAUUACAU